CUGCACCGCGUCUGCACCUUGGCAUUCGUUUCGAGUGUUGCGCUGUGCCUGCACCGCAGAAAUCGAGCUGCACAAUUUCUGAAGUUCUCGUGAACCGCCGUUAACUGGUUCAGUUGUGCAGGCAAAUCGAACGGGACCUUUUAAGUGCUUCCACAUGAAGUUCUUAUUUGCCCUUUUGUUGCUUGGUGGCCUGAUGGCUGCAUCAGGUAUUGUACAGAAUGUUCGACUGAACAUUCAAAGAAAGUUCAAGGAUUUGAAUGCUGAUGAAGGCCAAAAUUCAGUGAGUACAAACGUUUCAAUCAUGCACAUAAACUAAAAAUUAUCAAAUUUCCUUCUUCCUACCUGCAUUCGUUAGAGUUAAGUGUGCUACCAAGUUGGAAUUACUGAAAAAGUGUAAAAAAAAAGGCAAUUCUCUUUUAUAGUGUAGAGCGUCGACUGGUAACUGGCCUUUCCGCCAGAAAUAAUAUGCUUACCUUCAGGAGGAUGCUUUAGUUCAGUGCCAACUUCAAUCUCUUUAUUCAAAUACAUGUAAAAUGCAGAAAUGCUUUUGAGACAACUACUGAACCAAUUUAAAUGAAAUUUGUUGCACAUGAGAGAAAGUUAAAUCUAAGUCAUUCUAGGGCAGCACAAUUUCGAUUGAGGACCUUGAAUAUUUAGGAAAAAAUUGCUGAAAGUCAGUAAGCUUAAAAAAUAUAUAAGCACGAAGUUUACAAUUUCAUAGCUUUUUGUAUCAACUUGUAAACUUCAUGCACAAGUCUUUUUAAUUUUGCAAUUUUCAAAAUUUCCUGCAACAAAAAAUUGCCCCCUGAAACAGCCGCUACAUUUCAGCUUUUUUUUUUCUUCUUUUACAUCGAGCCAACCUCAUCGAAUUCUGUGCGCUGACUUCAAUGAAAAACUAAUUCUCUGUUCCCAUGUAUUCAGAUAGGAGCUCCCGAGAUAAAACUGCCUCCAAGUCAGGUGGAAAAGUAAAGUAUUAGCAACUUUCUUACAUCUACACUCUCCUUAUUGGUAUGUAGUGCAAUUAAAUUCUGCUUCUGCAUUACUUGUGUUGAUAGCAUGCUUGUUCCAAAUUGUUAUUUGUUCCUUUUGCAAAUUUUCACUUCGUUCACAGAACUUUCCAAAAGCGGACCAUCUCCAAUAAAAUAAAGCACUAAUUACUUUCAUGCUGAAGAUUCAUAACUCUUACAAAUUGACGUGGUUUCUACCUGGUGAUCUUCACUGCACUAAAGAGUUAUGAGCUAGGUACUAGGGUAUCCCAGCAACAUCAUGAGCAAGCAACACCAUCUUCUCUCAAAAUUCGUUAUAACCUUACUUCACUCUGCAAAAUGCUUAAAGCAUAAAAAUAUCACUCCUUUUUUAUUUUUACGUCUUAUAGUACACGCUACAUUUAACCUUGUGCAUAUUAAACAAUGAACCUCGUCUUCUCCCAUCUAGUCAUCCCUGGCUCAAGACCAUGUGACUGCCAGGUCAGCAAGGCAAAUAAAGGAAGUGUACCAUACAUGGAACAGGACGCUGAAAAAUUUCAAGAUAAAAUAUGCUCUGUUGUAGUUUAACCCCCCCCCCCUUCCUACAUGACAAAAACUUGGUUACAUAUCAAGGUAGCAUCAGAAAAUAUUAAAUUUCUUUUCUGAUUGAAAUUAAACCUGAAAAGUAUUCCAUCAAGUGUAGAGGGCAGAAGAGCAUUAGCAAAUACCAUAGCUUUCAAGAUUUUUCACAGUGCCUAUAGGUUGCCUUGAUGCUGCCUCCAAACUCUCAUGUACUGAAGCAUGCACACACAUUAUACCUCCAUUGACACCGAAGUCCCACUCAAAAGUCUCUGGCCACCGCAAUUCAUCCUGCAUGUACCGCUGACAAGGUGUACAUCUUUGGAGAAGUUAUUCCUGAUGCAAGCAUCUGAUGGGCUAGAAAACUAUAAAUUUCGUUAUGUCACCAAUAGCCAAAACACAAAUUAUUAUUCCUGCUUGCAAGUGACACAAAGUGACUGCUGUUACUGAACAGCGUACCGUGGCAUUCAACUGAACAAUGAUCUUGAGCGUCACUUACAUGAAUAAUCAUUCGCUUGUAUGGCUGGGGUCCUAGGUCAUGUGAAUUGCAGUGGAACUCCUUAGUGUAGUGACUGACUUGGGGCUGCUCAAUACGUUUUUUUUUUGUCAUGCCACAAUAAUGUCCGCCAAAUAAAAGAAAAUGUUUCUUUCUAAGUUGUCUCUUAUCAUUAAUUUGCAAGUGCAGUGCAGCAAGAAGGGGCCUUGCCUUACAUUGGUUCUAUUUUAAAUAUGCAAUAGCUGUUUAUUUCGGCAUACAUGCUGCAGUUCGUGCUCUGCAGGUCUCCAAGCCUGAGCAUCUGCUUCCGAGAAGAUGACAGCUGUAAGAAACAAAUGACUCUGUGUCACACAACCACAAAGACAUGAAAGUUCCUGCUUUACGAUAAAUA
rnacentral:lncRNA from 1 species